rnacentral:tRNA from 1 species
GGGCCCGUAGCUCAGCUUGGUAGAGCAUCUGACUCUUAAUCAGGUGGUCGAGGGUUCAAAUCCCUCCGGGCCCG